AUCGAACGCUGGCGGCAGGCCUAACACAUGCAAGUCGAACGAGUGGCGGACGGGUGAGUAAUGUCUGGGAAACUGCCCGAUGGAGGGGGAUAACUACUGGAAACGGUAGCUAAUACCGCAUACCAUCGGAUGUGCCCAGACGGGAUUAGCUAGUGGGUGGGGUAACGGCUCACCUAGGCGACGAUCCCUAGCUGGUCUGAGAGGAUGACCGGCCACACUGGUACUGAGACACGGUCCAGACUCCUACGGGAGGCAGCAGUAGGGAAGAUUGCGCAAUGGGCGCAAGCCUGAUGCAGCCAUGCCGCGUGUAUGAAGAAGGCCUUCGGGUUGUAAAAUACUUUCAGCGGAGAGGCGUUACCCGCAGAGGAAGCACCGGCUAACUCCGUGCCAGCAGCCGCGGUAAUAC
rnacentral:rRNA from 1 species